UUCGUUGCAAAUCUAAUAUUCUUCUGCUUGCAGGGUGAUGGUGACUAUGAACUUGUCAAGGAUGUACUAAUUGAUGACUACUUGCGAAGCCGAAUAAAGAAGUCAGAAGACGAGUUGCUUGGUGAGAAGAGAUGUGUCACCCAUCUUACAGGGGAGGGUAUUGCUGUCUGUGACCUACCAGGGGAUACAAUGCUCCCCGGAGAAAUGUGAAACCACAGAGCCAAGCCAGGUUAUCAACAACUUUUGACCUAUCUGUCUGUCUUGCAAAAUGGGCUUAGAUUCUGUGGAUACAAAGCUAAAGGAAAAUGUAAUUUGUAUGCAAAGGAUCUAUGUAAGUAUAUAGAACAGAUUUGAUUGCAGUCUACCAAUAUAUAACUGGUUGACUAGGAAAUUAUGUCUGAGGAGAGAAUUGCCAGGGGAAUCCGAAUUGCUACUUAAGUGCUUUUGAGAUUGUAGAAUUGGCAUCCUCACUUGAGCAGAAAAUAAAUGAAGCUUUUUAGACUGAAGAAAGAAGCUCGCUGGAAGAGGUAAUUUCAACUUUCUAAGGCAUCUAAGAUCCAUGUUGUUGGACUUGGACAUACCAGGAAUUACAGUUCCUUUUUCUGUUUUGCCGGGAAACUUUGUAUUCUUUCCAAGUAUUAACAUCAACUGAAGGACUUGUGGGCAUAUAGUAUUAGAAUUAUUAAAGUGAAAUUGAUUGCUUAUUGUACUAGAUUCUUUCAGCCAAACCAUCACCCACAAGGAACAAUAAUUAUGAGCGUCUCCCAAAGCUUUGUCUCAUCUUGGGCCCGUGUACAACACG